rfam:Ixodes scapularis strain Wikel colony gcontig_1107729114748, whole genome shotgun sequence.
GUAGUCGUGGCCGAGUGAUUAAGGCGAUGGACUAGAAAUCCAUUGGGGUCUCCCCGCACAGGUUCGAAUCCUGUCGACUGCG